UGUGCUGUUGUGUGUAUGUGUCCAAUAUGACGUGUAUGUUUAAACGUAUGCUUUCAUGUGACGCUUAAUGUAUGCAUGCAUAUGAUACGUGUACUUUUGUUAUUAUGUAGAAUUUAGAUUUGUAUGGUAAAAAGAAUUUUUGUUUACAGUUUUAUUUAAGAAAAAGAUAAAUGAUUAAUUAAAAAUAAUAAAUAAAAUAAGAAGAAGAAGAAAUUAUUUAUUAGAGCUCUGUGAUCUUUGAAAAACUAAUUGCUUUAAUACUCGUCAAUGGGUUGAAAAAUGUUGAGCCUGGCACGAAAAGAGUAGGUUGAAAAAUGUUUUGAGCUUGGCACAAAGAGAAUGGAUUGAAAAGUUUUGAGCCUGGCAUGAGGAUAGUUCGUUGCAAAAUCGAAAAAGAAAAAUUCCGAAAAAUUGUAUCAUAGUAAUCCAAUAGGUAAUUAGAUUUCAACGUAGAUGGUAUUGUUCCUUACUAGAAUAUCACGAUACAAGUGUACUUGACUAGGAACCUUGAAUUACUUGCUUACAAUGGCACUUGUUUUUUUUUUCUAAUAAAUUUCAAAAUAACGUGUGUAACAGACGGUUCGUCAGGUAUCGAUAGUGUUACGAUAGUGUUCGCGAGAUUCACGAAAAAAAAAAUUGAAAAUUCCCCAAAAAAUAUAUACCAUGAAAUUGUAAUUUUGCGAUUUAGGUUAAUUGUAUUAAUUAUCAAUGCACGUGUAACAAUUCGUAGGCAAAAUGUUUUCACCGUUUUACAAUUGUUUUUUUUUUUAAUUCUAUCUCUCGAUUUAAUUUCACGUGACGAUCAGAAGGCAUAGCGAUCUUGAAAAGUUGACAACUGGCAUAUAUACUUGAACUCUAUCCGAGAGCAAAGAGUGAAACAACAUACAAGAGAUGA
rnacentral:lncRNA from 1 species